AAGAUUAAUUUACUGUCACUUCAAUUUCAUUUCUUAGAAAACGUAGCAAAAGUUCCCAGAGACUUGUGACGCCACUAGACA